rnacentral:rRNA from 1 species
AUGAGAAGAAUUGAAGAUUUUAGAGAAUGUGAUGAUAUUGCAAGCCUAGCUAAAAAGAUGGUUGAACUUGAAAGGCACAUCAUGUUUCCCACGGUUUAUCGCCUCAUUGAGUUGGCAUUGCUACUACCGGUAGCGACGGCAACAGUUGAAAGGGCUUUUUCAGCAAUGAAAAUCAUCAAGACUGAGUUGCGCAGCAAGAUGUCCGAUGGCUGGCUUAAUGACUUGAUGGUGUGUUACAUUGAGCGAGGGAUAUUCAAAAGUCUUGAUCUUGGUAAAAUUAAGGAAGAUUUUCACAAAAAGGGUAGAGCACUACCGAUGCCUGGGUCUUCUAUGCGUAAUCGUUAG